GAUGAACGCUAGCGACAGGCUUAACACAUGCAAGUCGAGGGGCAGCGAGAGAGUAGCAAUAUUCUUGUCGGCGACCGGCGCACGGGUGAGUAACGCGUAUGCAACCUACCUAUCAGCGGGGGAUAGCCCGGCGAAAGUCGGAUUAAUACCGCAUAAUAUAUUUGAGCUUCAUGGCUUUAAUAUUAAAGAUUUAUCACUGAUAGAUGGGCAUGCGUUCCAUUAGGUAGUUGGUAGGGUAACGGCCUACCAAGCCUUCGAUGGAUAGGGGUUCUGAGAGGAAGGUCCCCCACACUGGUACUGAGACACGGACCAGACUCCUACGGGAGGCAGCAGUGAGGAAUAUUGGUCAAUGGACGAGAGUCUGAACCAGCCAAGUCGCGUGAAGGACGACGGCCCUAUGGGUUGUAAACUUCUUUUAUUGGGGAAUAAAAAGGGUCACGAGUGACCCCUUGCAUGUACCCAUAUGAAUAAGCAUCGGCUAACUCCGUGCCAGCAGCCGCGGUAAUAC
rnacentral:rRNA from 1 species